UGUUCUACAUGCAUAAGAACGAAUACAUUACAUGUGAUUCUUUAUACAAAGCUGUAUAUGUAUGUGAACGAUAGGCAGAGUCGAAGGGCUAAACUAAACUGAAAAUAAAUUAUAUCAGACAGUCUGAUCUGAAACGUAAACUGGAACACUUCACUUUUAUCAAUCUCUCCUGAGUGACUUAUCCCCUACCUUAGCUAUAUAUAGUUAUAUCUUUUCUAUAGAAAAGUAUUAGUUUCUUCUUGCGAAUGGAGGCGUAAUGGCGCUAAGAACAUUAUCUGGCAUGUAUAUGGCAAAAGUACUACGACGAAGGCUGAAUACAUUGAAAAUCAACAAUGAUACCCAGCGCAAUACGAUGCGGAACAACGUCGAGUGGCAACUACAUAUAGCAGGAUUAAUUCCUGUUUUUAGUCAUCUUCGAGAAGCUCCAAAUGGAUGCAUCAAAAUGAAACAUUCGAAAUUGUUAAUAUUAUAUGUAGAAGUCAGGAAUAGAUUUAGAAAAUCUAAGUGUCCUGGGUACAAGGAUUGUUAUAUUUUUUCCCACAUAGAUAUAUUUAAAGUGUUAAGUUAGUUACCGAUUUGACUAGUGAAUCGCAAUCUUAAUUGAAAGUUCGUGGUUGACGAAGGUCAAAUUCUGAAUAUCAGAAAGAUUUCUUAAGGGGAAAGAACUGUUGUGUUGUACAUGCAUAAGAACGAAUACAUUACAUGUGAUUCUUUAUACAAAGCUGUAUAUGUAUGUGAACGAUAGGCAGAGUCGAAGGGCUAAACUAAACUGAAAAUAAAUUAUAUCAGACAGUCUGAUCUGAAACGUAAACUGGAA